rnacentral:rRNA from 1 species
AGAGUUUGAUCAUGGCUCAGGACGAACGCUGGCGGCGUGCCUAAUACAUGCAAGUCGAGCGAAUUUAUGGGAGCUUGCUCCUGUAAGUUAGCGGCGGACGGGUGAGUAACACGUGGGCAACCUGCCUAUAAGACUGGGAUAACUUCGGGAAACCGGAGCUAAUACCGGAUAAUUCCUUUCCUCACAUGGGGAAGGGCUGAAAGAUGGUUUACGCUAUCACUUAUAGAUGGGCCCGCGGCGCAUUAGCUAGUUGGUGGGGUAACGGCUCACCAAGGCGACGAUGCGUAGCCGACCUGAGAGGGUGAUCGGCCACACUGGGACUGAGACACGGCCCAGACUCCUACGGGAGGCAGCAGUAGGGAAUCUUCCGCAAUGGACGAAAGUCUGACGGAGCAACGCCGCGUGAGUGAUGAAGGUUUUCGGAUCGUAAAACUCUGUUGUUAGGGAAGAACAAGUACCGGAGUAACUGCCGGUACCUGACGG